AGUGAACGCUGGCGGUAGGCCUAACACAUGCAAGUCGAACGGCAGCACAGUAGGAGCUUGCUCUUACGGGUGGCGAGUGGCGGACGGGUGAGGAAUACAUCGGAAUCUACUUUUUCGUGGGGGAUAACGUAGGGAAACUUACGCUAAUACCGCAUACGACCUACGGGUGAAAGCAGGGGAUCUUCGGACCUUGCGCGAUUGAAUGAGCCGAUGUCGGAUUAGCUAGUUGGCGGGGUAAAGGCCCACCAAGGCGACGAUCCGUAGCUGGUCUGAGAGGAUGAUCAGCCACACCGGAACUGAGACACGGUCCAGACUCCUACGGGAGGCAGCAGUGGGGAAUAUUGGGCAAUGGGCGCAAGCCUGAUCCAGCCAUACCGCGUGGGUGAAGAAGGCCUUCGGGUUGUAAAGCCCUUUUGUUGGGAAAGAAAAGCAGCAGGUUAAUACCCCGCUGUUCUGACGGUACCCAAAGAAUAAGCACCGGCUAACUUCGUG
rnacentral:rRNA from 1 species